rnacentral:rRNA from 1 species
UACGGAGGGGGCGAGCGUUGUCCGAAUUUAUUGGGCGUAAAGCGCGUGUAGGCGGAUGGACAAGCCUGAGGUGAAAGGUUGGGGCUCAACCCCAUACAGUGCCUUGGGGACUGUUCGUCUGGAGGCCGGCAGAGGAGAGUGGAAUUCCUGGUGUAGCGGUGGAAUGCGUAGAGAUCAGGAAGAACACCCAUGGCGAAGGCAGCUCUCUGGGCCGGUACUGACGCUGAGACGCGAAAGCGCGGGGAGCGAACGGG